GUUUUGAAAGUCACGGCGGGACCACACUUCCACGCUAGGACAGUACUCUGUCAUGAGUUCUUUCUCUCUUCUUACAGUUCCUCUCUUUGUGCAAAGUAAACUUUGCUUCCUUCGGUCAAAAGGACAUUGGAUGAGCGGAGUUGAAAGCACCAUUCUCCUGUCUCAUGAAUCACUGACCGACUUGGUUCCACAUUAGGUCACCGUAGAACACAGACUGUAACAGGAACACAUAAAAGCUCUAAAUGGGGAGGGGAGAGACGCUGUUCUGGAAUAUCGUUGCCAGAGUAACAUAAACCUUGUGUGUUUUCACAAGGAAAUGAGUCACUUGUUUCUGUUGGCUAAAACUCUGUUUUCUUUAAUUUCAUAUUUUAGCUGUCUAAUAUAUGCUGAAAGAGCCCAGGGUUUCCAGUCUUCAGAUGAAGAUAACUUGCUAAUUAAAAGCUCAACAGAGGGCUUGCGUGGUAAUUAAACCAAAGGGGAUAAAAGGAACACUCAAGCAACCAGGAGCACAAGGCAAAGGCAAGGAACUUUGUAUCCUGUUUCCAUGAUUUUCAAAAGGAUUUUCUCCUUCCUUCAACAUCAAUUGAUUUAAGAUGUAUUUUUUAAGAAGAUAACCCUGGGCCUAAAGCCAGAUAGAGUGCAUUCUUAAGAAACUCACUAAGAAGUGAUGUGCCUCCAACGCCCUGCGACUCAUCUGGGAGAGAAAUGCCUGCCAAGAGAGGCCUUUUGAACAUUCAGAGGAGUAGCUGAUUCUGCCAGCAUAGGAUCAAAGCCAAGAAGCUCACUCCCGAGACUAGAGCAAGGAUUUAAAAGGCCCAUCAUCAUGCAGACUCAGUAAGGUUCUGCCACACAAAAUGGAGUGCCAGGCCAGCAGGCAACUGAUUCAAGUGACAAGAGGUAAUAGGUACCUGUUGUAAAACGGCUUCCUGCGAGGCCAACGGAUCAGAAGACGACUGCCAUGAAAAAGACAGUUGUUAGACUCCCAAGUCCCGCCAAACCACAGGAGCCACACAGGGAAGCACCAAGAUCCAUCGGGAGGCGGAGGAAGCAAAGGGAAAAUGUGGACAAGAGCCUUUACUGUUGUUUCUACAGGAAGUAACAUGUGAGGCAAGUUAAGCAGGCUUAGAAUUGGCUGGUUUGAAUAAUUUCAGCAGGUUCUGGGGUAGGUAUAUGUACCUAGCCCUAGGAUAAUUAGGGUAGGGGAAUAUUAUCCCUGGGUGGGUAGUUGGGCUGGGCGUGUGGGCUCUGGAUGUGUUGGUUUGCAUAAGAAAGAUGCACUUACAGGCCAGCUGUUUACUAUAUCUAGGAACUGGCUAGCCCUGGAGGCGUAGUCUCUCCUGGGGUCAGCAAGGCACCAGAUGUCAAAACAUCAGAAACACAUGGUUAAUACAGUGCUCUGAAAAACAAAGAGGGCAAACAUGAGAAAUAAUGUUGAAGAGUCAAUAAUCAUCUCCAAAUCUAGAAUAUUUACCAAAUAAACCACCAAAUGGACAUGUGAAUUUUCCUUAGAGUAGGUUUAUGUUUCCUCUGACUUUUUUUUUAUUUAGUCCUUAGCUGCCAGUGCAGAGCAGGUGAGAAUGUCUGACAUAUGAAAAUUAAAGCACAAUUUGGUGACUAAGCACAACGUUAUAAAAUAAAAUAAGAAAGGGUAGUUUGGGGGGCGCCUGUGUGGCUAAGUCGGUUGAG